UGCAGCCCGCGAACCAUGCAAUCGAGCGCGACUUUCCAACGAGCUCCGGACGCGAGCCAGUCACGGACGCGAUUCAGAGAUGCCUUCCCUCCGCUUCGCUCUCCGCUGCGCUACGAGAAGCUACGGUGAUAAGUGGUCUGGCGCAGGCCACACCGUAUGCUUAAGCGGCGAGGUGCCGGCGCAGGGCAAACAAGUGGUGGUUGGGUUCCAUGCCGAACGCCAUGCUCCUAAAUCCUCUGCCUG
rnacentral:lncRNA from 1 species